rnacentral:rRNA from 1 species
AGUGAACGCUGGCGGCGUGCUUAACACAUGCAAGUCGAACGAGAACGGAUUAUAGCUUGCUAUAAUUGUCAGCUAAGUGGCGCACGGGUGAGUAAUGUAUAGGUAAUAUGCCUCUUACUAAGGGAUAACAAAUGGAAACGUUUGCUAAUACCUUAUACUCCUUAUUAACAGAAGUUAAUAAGGGAAAGAUUUAUUCGUAAGAGAUUAGACUGUAUUGUAUCAGUUAGUUGGUGGGGUGAUGGCUUACCAAGACUAUGACACAGAACGUGGUUUGAGAGGAUGACCAGUCACACUGGAACUGAGACACGGUCCAGACUCCUACGGGAGGCAGCAGUGGGGAAUAUUGCACAAUGGACGAAAGUCUGAUGCAGCAACGCCGCGUGGAGGAUGACACAUUUCGGUGCGUAAACUCCUUUUAUAUGAGAAGAUAAUGACGGUAUUAUAUGAAUAAGCACCGGCUAACUCCGUGCCAGCAGCCGCCGUAA